rnacentral:rRNA from 1 species
UGGGGAAUCUUGCACAAUGGGCGAAAGCCUGAUCCAGCCAUGCCGCGUGAGUGAAGAAGGCCUUAGGGUUGUAAAGCUCUUUUGGCAGGGACGAUAAUGACGGUACCUGCAGAAUAAGCCCCGGCAAACUUCGUGCCAGCAGCCGCGGUAAUACGAAGGGGGCUAGCGUUGUUAGGAAUUACUGGGCGUAAAGCGCACGUAGGCGGGUUGUUAAGUCAGGGGUGAAAUCCUGGAGCUCAACUCCAGAACUGCCUUUGAUACUGGCAACCUAGAGACUGGAAGAGGUUAGUGGAAUUCCCAGUGUAGAGGUGAAAUUCGUAGAUAUUGGGAAGAACACCAGUGGCGAAGGCGGCUAACUGGUCCAGCACUGACGCUGAGGUGCGAAAGCGUGGGGAGCAAACAG